GACGAACGCUGGCGGCGUGCUUAACACAUGCAAGUCGAACGGAAAGGCCCCUUCGGGGGUACUCGUGUGGCGAACAGGUGAGUAACACGUGAGUAACCUGCCCUUGACUUCGGGAUAACUUCAGGAAACUGGGGCUAAUACCGGAUAGGAAUCCUUGCUGCAUGGUGGGGGUUGGAAAGCUUCGGCGGUUUUGGAUGGACUCGCGGCUUAUCAGCUUGUUGGUGGGGUAGUGGCUUACCAAGGCUUUGACGGGUAGCCGGCCUGAGAGGGCGACCGGCCACAUUGGGACUGAGAUACGGCCCAGACUCCUACGGGAGGCAGCAGUGGGGAAUAUUGCACAAUGGGCGGAAGCCUGAUGCAGCAACGCCGCGUGCGGGAUGACGGCCUUCGGGUUGUAAACCGCUUUCAGCAGGGGCGAAGCUUGUGGUGACGGUACCUGCAGAAGAAGCACCGGCUAACUACGUG
rnacentral:rRNA from 1 species